GACGAACGCUGGCGGCGUGCCUAAUACAUGCAAGUCGAGCGGGGAUUAUGCUUGAUCGCUUCGGUGAGACGGCAUAUAUCCUAGCGGCGGACGGGUGAGUAACGCGUGGGUAAUCUACCUCGUAGUUCGGGAUAACAGGCCGAAAGGCUUGCUAAUACCGGAUGAGUUCAUGCUUAUGCAUAUAGGCAUGAAGAAAGGGCUAGCCCGCUAUGAGAUGAGCCCGCGUCCCAUUAGCUUGUUGGUGGGGUAACGGCCUACCAAGGCAACGAUGGGUAGCCGGCCUGAGAGGGUGUACGGCCACACUGGGACUGAGACACGGCCCAGACUCCUACGGGGGGCAGCAGUAGGGAAUUUUCGGCAAUGGGCGAAAGCCUGACCGAGCGACGCCGCGUGAGGGACGAAGGCCUUCGGGUUGUAAACCUCUGUCAUGGGGGAAGAAGGAAGUGACGGUACCCCAAGAGGAAGCCCCUGCUAACUACGUG
rnacentral:rRNA from 1 species